rnacentral:rRNA from 1 species
GCAGUCGAACGAUGAAGCCUUUCGGGGUGGAUUAGUGGCGAACGGGUGAGUAACACGUGGGCAAUCUGCCCUUCACUCUGGGACAAGCCCUGGAAACGGGGUCUAAUACCGGAUACGACCUGCCUCCGCAUGGGGGUGGGUGGAAAGCUCCGGCGGUGAAGGAUGAGCCCGCGGCCUAUCAGCUUGUUGGUGGGGUAAUGGCCUACCAAGGCGACGACGGGUAGCCGGCCUGAGAGGGCGACCGGCCACACUGGGACUGAGACACGGCCCAGACUCCUACGGGAGGCAGCAGUGGGGAAUAUUGCACAAUGGGCGAAAGCCUGAUGCAGCGACGCCGCGUGAGGGAUGACGGCCUUCGGGUUGUAAACCUCUUUCAGCAGGGAAGAAGCGAGAGUGACGGUACCUGCAGAAGAAGCGCCGGCUAACUACGUGCCAGCAGCCGCGGUAAUACGUAGGGCGCAAGCGUUGUCCGGAAUUAUUGGGCGUAAAGAGCUCGUAGGCGGCUUGUUGCGUCGGAUGUGAAAGCCCGGGGCUUAACCCCGGGUCUGCAUUCGAUACGGGCAGGCUAGAGUGUGGUAGGGGAGAUCGGAAUUCCUGGUGUAGCGGUGAAAUGCGCAGAUAUCAGGAGGAACACCGGUGGCGAAGGCGGAUCUCUGGGGCAUUACUGACG